rnacentral:rRNA from 1 species
AUACGGAGGAUCCGAGCGUUAUCCGGAUUUAUUGGGUUUAAAGGGUGCGCAGGCGGCCAUUUAAGUCAGCGGUUAAAUCGUGGGGCUCAACCCCAUUCUGCCGUUGAUACUGGGGGGAUUGAUUGCGGUCGAGGUUGGCGGAAUUCGUUGUGUAGAGGUGAAAUGCAUAGAUAUGACGAAGAACACCGAUUGCGUAGGCAGCUGACCAGACCGCAAAUGACGCUCAUGCACGAAAGUGCGGGGAUCGAACAGGAUUAGAUACCCUGGUAGUCCGCACAGUAAACGAUGAAUACUUGUUUUCGGCGAUAUAAUGUCGGAGGCAAAGCGAAAGCGAUAAGUAUUCCACCUGGGGAGUACGCCGGCAACGGUGAAAAUCAAAUGAAUUGACGGG